GAUAUUCGACGUCAUAAACACGAGCAAGUUUGGUGUUUAUGACGUCGAUAUUCGACGUCAUAAACACGAGCAAGUUUGGUGUUUAUGACGUCGAUAUUCGACGUCAUAAACACGAGCAAGUUUGACGAGCAAGUUUGGUGUUCAUGACGUCGAUAUUCGACGUCAUAAACACGAGCAAGUUUGGUGUUUAUGACGUCGAUAUUCGACGUCAUAAACACAGCAAGUUUGGUGUUUAUGACGUCGAUAUUC